UACGGGGGGGGCAAGCGUUGUUCGGAAUUACUGGGCGUAAAGGGCGCGUAGGCGGCCUGUUAAGUCACACGUGAAAUCCCUCGGCUCAACCGGGGAACUGCGUGUGAUACUGACGGGCUUGAAUUCGGGAGAGGGAUGUGGAAUUCCAGGUGUAGCGGUGAAAUGCGUAGAUAUCAGGAGGAACACCAAUGGCGAAGGCAGCACUCUGGGACGUGACUGACGCUGAGACGCGAAAGCGUGGGGAGCAAACAGG
rnacentral:rRNA from 1 species